rnacentral:rRNA from 1 species
UAACGCGUGGGUAACCUGCCUCAUACAGGGGGAUAACGAUUGGAAACGAUUGCUAAUACCGCAUAAGCGCACAGUACCACAUGGUGCAGUGUGAAAAACUCCGGUGGUAUGAGAUGGACCCGCGUCUGAUUAGCUAGUUGGUGAGGUAACGGCCCACCAAGGCAACGAUCAGUAGCCGACCUGAGAGGGUGACCGGCCACAUUGGGACUGAGACACGGCCCAG